GCGGCGGCAGCAGAGGUAGCGUCGACGCCGGUAGUGACCAGGCUGAAGAAGUUGCUUCCGAAAACAUCGAUGCGAAGGAUCGUCGAAUUGAUGAUGCGCACGCGCACAGCUCCAUACCUUCUAUCUACCCAACAACUGGGCUGGGAGAGUAAUAGUGUCUACACGGCAGAAGUGAAGAAACAGAUUUAGGCUGAGCAAACUGCCUGAUCUUAUAACUACAUGUAGUGGCAAAUGCGAGAUUAAAACAUGGACUUGAGUGGCUUUGAAAUCUCUGUGCCUUCCACAGCAAUAAAAGUCAGAAGAAAAGAGAUGGUACAUCUAGAUGGACUGGUAAAAAUGGAGCACUGCCAAGCAAACGCCAAGAAAAUGUCCAGCCUCAACAUGAAGUUUUACUGGCUUCUGAG